rnacentral:rRNA from 1 species
AAUAACCCGCUGGAACUAAGCAUAUUCAAUAAGGCGGAGGAAAAGAAACCAACAGGGAUUGCCUCAGUAACGGCGAGUGAAGCGGCAACAGCUCAAAUUUGAAAUCUGGCCCUCGGGUCCGAGUUGUAAUUUGCAGAGGAUGCGUUCGGCGACGCACUGACCGAGUCCCCUGGAAUGGGGCGCCAUAGAGGGUGAGAGCCCCGUAUGGUCGGCUGCUGAACCGGUGUAAUGCUCCUUCGACGAGUCGAGUAGUUUGGGAAUGCUGCUCUAAAUGGGAGGUAAAUUUCUUCUAAAGCUAAAUACCGGCCAGAGACCGAUAGCGCACAAGUAGAGUGAUCGAAAGAUGAAAAGCACUUUGAAAAGAGGGUUAAAAAGCACGUGAAAUUGUUAAAAGGGAAGCGCCUGUGACCAGACUCUGUUCUUGGGGAUCAUCCGUCCUUCUGGGCGGUGCACUCCUCUUGGAUGGGGCCAGCAUCGGUUUUCGCCGGGGGAAAAGGACUUAGGGAACGUGGCUCUCCUCGGAGAGUGUUAUAGCCCUCUGUUUGAUGCCCCGGCGGGGACCGAGGACCGCGCUUCGGCAUGGAUGCUGGCGUAAUGGUCACCGGCGACCCGUCUUGAAACACGGACCAAGGAGUCAAGCAUUAGUGCGAGUGUACGGGUGUAAAACCCGCACGCGCAGUGAAAGCGAACGCUGGUGAGAGCUUCGGCGCAUCACCGACCGAUCCUGACGUUCUCUGACGGAUUUGAGUAGGAGCAUUAACGCUUGCACCCGAAAGAUGGUGAACUAUGCCUGAAUAGGGUGAAGCCAGAGGAAACUCUGGUGGAGGCUCGCAGCGGUUCUGACGUGCAAAUCGAUCGUCAAAUUUGGGCAUAGGGGCGAAAGACUAAUCGAACCAUCUAGUAGCUGGUUACCGCCGAAGUUUCCCUCAGGAU